rnacentral:rRNA from 1 species
GACGAACGCUGGCGGCGUGCUUAACACAUGCAAGUCGAACGGAAAGGCCCUGCUUUUGUGGGGUUCUCGAGUGGCGAACGUGUGUGUAACACGUUAGUAACCUGCCCUUGACUUUGUGUUAACUUCAGGAAACUUGUGCUAAUACCUGAUAGGAGCUCCUGCUGCAUGGUGGUGGUUGGAAAUUUUCGGCGGUUGGGGAUGGACUCGCGGCUUAUCAGCUUGUUGGUGGGGUAGUGGCUUACCAAGGCUUUGACGGGUAGCCGGCAUGAGAGGGUGACCGGACACAAUGGGACUGAGAAAAGGCACAGAAUGCAAAGGGAGGCAGGAGUGGGGAAUAUGGAAGAAUGGGAGGAAGACAGAUGCAGAAACGCCGCGAGCGGGAUGACGGCAUUCGGGUUGUAAACAGAUUUGGACUGUGAAGAAGAGUGAGUGACGGUAAUGGGUAAAGAAGCACCGGCUAACUACGUG